UUAUAAAAAUAAUACAAUCCUAUAAGUUCAUCGAAAAAUCUCUCUUGCUUUCAAUGUAUUAUAUUAUAAAUUUCGUUGCAAUUGUCGAGUAAGAUAAAAUUGCGUGUGAUGACGUUAACGGUAUGUUUAAAAGAACAUUGGUGGUGGUGUCUGCGUUCGAAAAAUGUGUCGAACGCGUUUCCUUUUCUACCGUGUUGAAGAGUGCGCUCGCGCGUUGACGAUGACGAUGGGAGCAGGUUGCCGUAACGCCUUUGAACGGCAUCAUUCCUUGCUCGAAGUUUGCGGGGUAUAUACGUGCGUACGUGCAAGUGAGUGAGUGAAAAAUAACUUACACGACGUGCAUAAUACAUACAUCGGACGACCAUACUUUAAUCGCAUUAGUGCGACUUUAACGGUCGUCGACUCCCUGUGGAUUAAAGUGCCUUUUGCUUUUCUCUCGAUAAGUCUUACGGUCGUGCGAGAAAACGAAGAAGAAUCGUCUCGGUGCACGAACGGCCAAGUUACGAGACCUUUUACGAGGCCGGUAAUCACAAUAGACCAUGCCUAGAGAACCAACUACGUGUCUAUAAUACAUGUAACAUAUGUGUAUACCUAGAUAUAUGUAUGCGUAUGAAUAUGUCGUUGAACGACGAUGUAUAUUCUGGAACGAAACUAUAACGUGUUAGC